rnacentral:rRNA from 1 species
GACGAACGCUGGCGGCGUGCUUAACACAUGCAAGUCGAACGGAAAGGCCUAGCUUGCUGGGUACUCGAGUGGCGAACGGGUGAGUAACACGUGGGUGAUCUGCCCCUGACUUUGGGAUAAGCCUGGGAAACUGGGUCUAAUACCGGAUAUUCAUUUUUCCUCGCAUGGGGAUUUGUGGAAAGCUUUUGCGGUUGGGGAUGGGCCCGCGGCCUAUCAGCUUGUUGGUGGGGUAAUGGCCUACCAAGGCGACGACGGGUAGCCGACCUGAGAGGGUGAUCGGCCACACUGGGACUGAGACACGGCCCAGACUCCUACGGGAGGCAGCAGUGGGGAAUAUUGCACAAUGGGCGCAAGCCUGAUGCAGCGACGCCGCGUGAGGGAUGACGGCCUUCGGGUUGUAAACCUCUUUCAGCUCCGACGAAGCGCAAGUGACGGUAGGAGCAGAAGAAGCACCGGCCAACUACGG